rnacentral:tRNA from 1 species
GCCUGGGUGGCUCAGUCGGUUGAGCAUCUGACUUCGGCUCAGGUCAUGAUCUCAGGGUCAUGGGUUCAAGCCCCGCAUUGGGCU